rnacentral:piRNA from 1 species
UGUCCUUGGAAGUAAUUGCGGUCUGC